GAUGAAGAACGCAGUGAAAUGCGAUAAGUAAUGUGAAUUGCAGAAUUCAGUGAAUCAUCGAAUCUUUGAACGCGCAUUGCGCCCGCCAGUAUUCUGGCGAGCAUGCCUGUUCGAGCGUCAUUUCAACCAUCAAGCCCCAGGCUUGUGUUGGAGCCCUGCGGCUGCCGCAGCCUCCCAAAACCAGUGGCGGGCUCGCUAUCACACCGAGUGCAGUAGUUUACUCUUCGCUCAGGGCGUGUGGCGGGUGCUAGCCGUGAAACCCCCAACUUCUCAAGGUUGACCUCGGAUCAGGUAGGAAUACCCGCUGAACUUAAGCAUAUCAAUAAGCGGAGGA
rnacentral:misc_RNA from 1 species